rnacentral:rRNA from 1 species
AACGAACGCUGGCGGCGUGCUUAAUACAUGCAAGUCGAACGAGAAAUCCCGGCUUCGGUUGGGAGAGUAAAGUGGCGAACGGGUGAGUAACACGUGGACAAUCUGCCUUUGAGUUCGGGAUAAUCCUUCGAAAGGGGGCCUAAUACCGAAUGACACCAUCGAGAGGAUUCUCCUGGUGGUCAAAGACGGGGCAACCUGUCGCUUGAAGAUGAGUCCGCGCUCCAUUAGCUUGAUGGUAGGGUAAAGGCCUACUAUGGCUGCGAUGGAUAGCCGGCCUGAGAGGGUGAUCGGCCACACUGGGACUGAGAUACGGCCCAGACUCCUACGGGAGGCAGCAGUAGGGAAUAUUGCGCAAUGGACGAAAGUCUGACGCAGCAACGCCGCGUGGGUGAUGAAGCAUUUUGGUGUGUAAAACCCUGUUAGCGGGGAAGAAACGUGAGGAGAAUAACUGCUCUUUACCUGACGGUACCCGCAGAGAAAGCACCGGCUAACUCCGUG